UAAAAAAUCCAUUGGAAAAGGUGGUUUUAAUGCUGAAAAACCCUUUGAUUGAUCUGUAUGAUUAUGAAAAAAAAGAAGAUUUUAAGUCUCAAAAAUAGUGCAUUCUACAACAUAUUAUCUACAUUGUCCAUUUUUAAGAUUUUUUCAUGUUUAUAGAUUUAGUUGAUUUUAACUAUUUUUGAAAUUUAAAAUUUUAUAAUUAGAUAUAAAAAAUGGAUUUUGAGAUAAUCUUAAGAACAUUUUACAAUAAAAGUAUAUACUAUGAUAAAAUUUGAAGGUGCACUUUACCUCUACUGCUACGGAGGCAUUUGUAUGCCAACUGUAC
rnacentral:lncRNA from 1 species